rnacentral:rRNA from 1 species
UACGUAGGUGGCAAGCGUUGUCCGGAAUUACUGGGCGUAAAGGGCGUGUAGGCGGCCUUUUAAGUCAGACGUGAAAACCCUGGGCUUAACCCAGGAACUGCGUUUGAAACUGGAAGGCUUGAGGACCGGAGAGGGUAGUGGAAUUCCCAGUGUAGCGGUGAAAUGCGUAGAUAUUGGGAGGAACACCAGUGGCGAAGGCGACUACCUGGCUUGUUCUUGACGCUGAGGCGCGAAAGCUAGGGGAGCAAACGGG